rnacentral:tRNA from 1 species
UAGCUCAGUUGGUAGAGCAUGAGACUCUUAAUCUCAGGGUCGUGGGUUCAUGCCCCAC